GAUCAAGGGGACAAACAGAGAGACUUCCGCCAGUGAGCAGAAUGAGAAGACUGAGUUAUAGAAGUAGUCAUGUUUAAUCCAAGCAAACAAACUGUCACUGAAACCUAGCAAUGAUUAGAAAGAGGAAUAUGUUCAAGAAGGAGAGUCUUAGAGUGAAACCUACAGCGUCCUUCACUGUGGAAGCACUAGUCACCCCCAACGGUCUCUAAAUGAACCAUAAAAACAUUGGCUUCUGAACAGCCAACUGAGAGCAAAGUGUUUUCUAAAUGUACUACUCUGUCCUCUCUCCCCGUCAGUCUCCUCCGUGUCCUGUGUAUUACAACGUCUCAGCUCUGACCAAUCGCUCGGCUUCUGCAGCACAGAGAGAACCAAUAGAAGAGCAGGAUGACCCUCACUAUGCCAGCAUCCACAUCUCUCGCUCUAAGAACCAGGAAGUGCCUCGUGGGUUUACUGGUGUUCUGGUAGAGUCUGAUCAUACAGAGCAGGUCCUUUACUCUGCCAUCAACCUUAAAAGACCCAAGGCUGUCCCUGAUAAACUGAUGUCAGAUACCACCAUCAAAUAAACAGCCAAGUUUUGAUAUAGAUUCAGCAUUAAAUGGGUUUUAAUAACAUUUCUAGCAAUAAAUGUGUAUUUUAUUGUCAUCAUCUUCGUUCAUUGAUUGUAUAUAUCGUUUAGUUUGUUAGUUACUAAUAAUAUUUUUCUUAACAGAAAAAAACGCUUUCUAUCAUUACUUUGUUGGUUGGAAUGGGUGCUGCUAUCACAAAAAAUAUAUAUCAAAUGUAUAAAUUCUUUUGUUGACAUUCAUUUUAUUCUCAGUGGAAAAUGCUUGUUUCGGCAUUAAGAUGUGUUUGAUACCAUGCCUCGCGAGAAACAUGCUUUUUAUUUCACUGAUUGUAUAUGAACUUCAGUGAUUUAGAUUUGAUAUGAUGUUUAGUGGUUAAGUUAAACUGCUUAUGGUGUUUUUCAUGCUUCCAGGCUAUUUUCUGUUUAGGUAAUAACCUAAAUUAUAUGUAAAAACACGUAUUUAAAAAAUGUGGAAACAUGCAGGCUGGUCUCAAAAAACGUUUGUAUGAUAUCUUAUUUUCCGUAAGAUUCCGACAAAUGUCUGGUAGCACGAGUGGUCAGUGUGCCUGCACAAGCACCAAGGAGGGCAGAACCAGAAACCAUUGCAACACAUGCAAUAUUACGAUCGUUUCGACAUUAAUAUCUGUCCUGAUCUCCUGAUCUCCUUAUCUCUAGGUUUGUGACUGGGUUGGCUUGAUUUCCAAACAUGGGCACAGCCAUAUAUUGUUCUAAUAACUCAGACAACUAAUCAGAUUAAGUAACUAGGAAAAAAGGGGGGUUAUUCAGUUGGUGAAUAACCAACUGAAUAUUACUAGACCACUAGAUACCACUAAACCCUAGACACUUUACCUUUAAAGUCUGCAUAAACCUGUCAACAUUAAUAUGAAUCAUCUAAAUUCCUCAUGCAUUAUCCUGCUGUACCACUGAUAUAAACAUAUCAUCCUCUUUUAACAUCUUUAACAUAUUUUAACGUCUUUGACCUUAAGACCAAGACCUAAACACACAUCUGUGUAAUCAGGUCCCUGUAAUCAGGAAAUAGUGAAGGGCAGUUCAAUGCUUCACUCAGUAUCUUCCAGACACAUCAUCACUGUAGCUGUACGCAGAGUGGCUUCAUGCAGUUGCUGUCUUACUGGUCCCCAUACCCCUCCUCAUCUUCCUGUGGAUAAGGUGAUAAGUCUCUGUCUGUCUGUCUGUCUGUCUGUCUGUCUGUCUGUCUGUCUGUCUGUCUGUCUGUCUGUCUGUCUCUCUGUCUCUCUGUCUCUCUGUCUCUCUCUCUCUCUCUCUCUCUCUCUCUCUCUCUCUCUCUCUCUCUCUCUCUCUCUCUCUCUCUCUCUCUCUCUCUCUCUCUCUCUCUCUCUCUCUCUCUCUCUCUCUCUCUCUCUCUCUCCUUAUACAUUUCUCCUGUUGCUUCUUCAUCUCUCUGUUCUCUUCAACAGAAGAAAGAUGGCUUCCAGAAGCUAUGUUCCCAGGGAGGAAGGCCAGACACUGGGUUGGAGAUGGGAGGCAGGAAGCCAUUUCUUACUUAGCCAUCCUUGACUAAGACACACAAAUGCCCCGAGCCCACGCCCCAACACCACGUGUAAAACUUCUAGUUGUUGCUUUAGUUGUUCCUGUUAAUCUAGCCCUGCCAUUCUGACAACUUUCUGCCAAUAUGUAAAUAUAAUUGCCAAGAGAUUAGCUUUUAAGGGGAACCAGCAGGCAUAGCUAUGUUAUAUUGUAAGAUAGUAGUGCUUCACGGUUGUUGUGAAAGGGGGUUGCGUGGUGGGCCCACAAAUCCCCACCAAAGAUCACUAAAUGAACCACAAACACAGGAAGUGUAAAGCCUCAUAAAUGUACUCUUCUGUCCUCUCUGCCCAUCGAUCACUUUCUGUUUCUGUGUUUGAAAAUGCCUCAGCUCUGACUAUUCGCUCGGCUCAGAGAGCACAGAGAGAAGCAAAGGAAGAGCAGGAUGACCUUCACUGUCCACCCACAUCUCUCGCCAAGAGAACCGAAAGUGCCUCAACGUCCUGUGGGAUCCCCCCGUCCGAUCAGAUCAGAUAGACCAGGUCCUGUACUCUCUGGUCCACUCUCCAAGACCCAAUGCUGUCCCUGGGUAAACCCCUUCUGAUACUAUCUUAGAUAUUCAACUUUUAACUUCUAAAUCUUUGUCAAAUCUGCUCUCCAGGGUAACUGAUUUCCGUCCUCUUUGCAGGGACACUGACCAGACCUCGGAAUUGUAAAGCAUACUUUAUUUAGAUGAUGAGUGAUGUAGUCUGCAUCAUAGUGCUAUGAAUUGGUCCUGGUCAAAUCAUGAAAUGUACAAGCCUAACCCAAGUUUGAAAAAUGUAGGACACGUGUUUAACUCUAUGGGUUUUAUAUCGACAUGCUAUUGUAUGAUUCAUUGGCCAUUUUGGGUGACCAGGUUAUAGCAUUCUGGCAACCACCACCACUACCAAAAUCUGAUAGAAGUGAGUGGGAAUGGUGUGUGCAAGACAGUGACAACCUGAACUGCUGUAUAUGCCUCCCCUAAAUGAAAAAAAGUUGACCGGCACUCAGUUGAAUCUACACCACCUGCUCAUUGCCUGAAUGUACUGCACAUGUGAGGGGAGGUCUUAAUGAGAGCUUAACAUACUCCACUUGUACAUUGGUUUGUAUGGUAGAUAGCUCCCUCUAUAGGCUACAUACAUGCUAUUGCACGCAUUUCCACUGCUUGGCUGAUUUGGUUACCAGGUCACCUGCUGAUGUGAUACACCUGUCAAUUAUGUAGUAAAGCCAGGCACUGGAUAUGAUCAGAAAAAAUUAUUUAAUUAGUCUGACUAUUAUAUUAGAUUCAUUGGUAAGACUGGUAUACUGGUUUUCAAAUAAAAUAUGUAUACUGUUUUUCCUUAAUGGGGUACCCUUUAAUGUUUUGGACCAAAUCACUAUUUACUAUUUUGGAUUUAUUCUUCCAAAGAAUUGUAAGGGUUCAGAUGUUAUCAUGUCAACGCCAUUUAACAACUCCCAUUCGAAAUACGAACAACUUGUAGCCCCCACACACACACACACACACACACACACACACACACACACACACACACACACACACACACACACACACACACACACACACACACACACACACACACACACACACACACACACACACACCGCAUGCACAAAAUAAUAAAUGUGGAAGGCUUGUAUGGGACUCGGGU